rnacentral:lncRNA from 1 species
GCCGGACAUUUUUGGGAAUGAAUUCCUAAUUUUUCACGGCUUGCCGGAGCCGCAGGCCGGCAGAUGGCAUCACGCUCAUGCCGUUGGGUGAUAGCCGGCUCUGCCACGACUCUCAGCUGUGCAAAAUAUUGCUCGGCGCCUUGCCCGUGCAGUCUGCAAGGAGGGUGCCAAAGAGCAGAGCUUGCACCUUCAAGCCAAAGCAGCCGGGUUUGCUUGUGAUCGUCCGCCUGUGUGAUUCCUCCAGCAGUGACCAGCAAUGGGGUAAAGAGCACUUGGACGAGAUCAGAAAAAUCUGGUGUCUGCAGCAGCACGCAGCCCAUCCUUUCUGCACUGCUGCGUGGAUGGCGGCGGAGGAGCCACGGCCUAAUCUUGAACUCGUUAAAAAACAAUGGGAGUCUUUUUAUUGCCUUCAUCUGGCUUUUAAUGAAUGACCUCUUGUCGCCAGGAGCUACGUGCGGUGACAAAGGGUCUUUGUGGGCUGAUAUUUAUGAUUUCAUUUAAGCCGGGGAGUAAGCUAAAGGGAGAGGGCUGGGAAAUAAGAGCUGAGCUGAUGUUUCCUGCUUUAAACUCAAGGGAUCUUUAUCCCGAGUUUUUGUAUUAAUCCAGUUGUCAUCUCUUAAAUAUUUGAGCAACUCACAGCCACGAGCGCUCGCGCGUUGGCAGAACACAAAGGUCACGGCUCGGUGACACAGCAGGGAAGGACUCUCCCAAUCCCCACACAUUUCUUCAGUCCUUAGCACUAGGAUUUAGGGGAGGAUUUGCAUUUCCCUCGUCCUCCCGCCCUCAAAUUGCAUACACAUGGAGCACACCGAGCCCUGCUGCGAGUGUGCAACCCGCUGGUGUGCAGCCCCAGGCUCAGCCCGGCCACGGGGUCCCAACCUCCUUGCCCCACUACUCCCCAGUGCUGAUAAAUGUGUGCCUUUUCCCUGGACAGGGUUCAGCGAUGGAUUAAGCAGCUGGGAGUCUGGAGGAGAGCGCGGCCCCUCUCUUUUGCCAUGCAAACAGAGAAAAUUAAUCUUCCAGCUUCCUCUGAUAUUUGGGCUAAAUUACAAGCUGGGAGCGGAGAUAAAGGACGGGUGAAGGAAGGCACAGGUACAGCGGAGAGCCAGGCUGCCUGGCACAGGCCCUUGUCCGUGCAGAUAACAGCUCUCCUCCCCGUGUCAUGCAUAAUUCACCAGCGCUGCCUCCCUCGGUCCUGGUCAUCUCUUUCUGUUUUCUCUCCUCCAGAAACCAGCAGCCUCCCCGUCCAUGCAAACCCGUGCAUCUCGUCCAGGCUACGCAUGGAUUCAGGAAGGGGAGUAAGCACGGGUGUGCACCCAGAAAAGCAGCAGCAACGUGCAGUCCUCAGCUGCAGCAGCACAGUGCUCUGCUGGUUUGGGAGACCCGGACACCAACCCAGGCAAACCAUGGCAGCACAUCAGCUUCUGCAGGAGGCUAAAGGGGGAUUUCAUCUGCCCAUCACAUUUCAGCUCUGGUUUGCUGCACAGGAGCAUCCCCACAUUCUGCAUGACACUGGUGAACAGGAUCCCGCCGGCCUCAGGAGAGCACUGAGCCACGGCUCUGCUAUCGAUCCCCCGAUCAAUGACAAUUCAAGGCCUGGAAAUGACUGUCCUCAAUUCCCACCCAAGGCUGUGCACAGGGAGGAGGGAGCUCCCUCGGAGGCUGAGCAGGAACCCAAAGCAGGAGCAGAGAUGGGAAGAGGCUCUCUUGUGGCAGGUGGGUUGUUUAACAAAUUGGACACAUAA